UCUUGCAAACUAAAGAUGGCGACCGGCGCACGGGUGAGUAACACGUAUCCAACCUGCCGAUAACUCGGGGAUAGCCUUUCGAAAGAAAGAUUAAUAUCCGAUAGUAUAUUAAAACCGCAUGGUUUUACUAUUAAAGAAUUUCGGUUAUCGAUGGGGAUGCGUUCCAUUAGGUUGUUGGCGGGGUAACGGCCCACCAAGCCUUCGAUGGAUAGGGGUUCUGAGAGGAAGGUCCCCCACAUUGGAACUGAGACACGGUCCAA
rnacentral:rRNA from 1 species